rnacentral:rRNA from 1 species
AGUGAACGCUGGCGGUAGGCCUAACACAUGCAAGUCGAACGGCAGCACAGUAAGAGCUUGCUCUUACGGGUGGCGAGUGGCGGACGGGUGAGGAAUACAUCGGAAUCUACUUUUUCGUGGGGGAUAACGUAGGGAAACUUACGCUAAUACCGCAUACGACCUACGGGUGAAAGCAGGGGAUCUUCGGACCUUGCGCGAUUGAAUGAGCCGAUGUCGGAUUAGCUAGUUGGCGGGGUAAAGGCCCACCAAGGCGACGAUCCGUAGCUGGUCUGAGAGGAUGAUCAGCCACACUGGAACUGGGACACGGUCCAGACUCCUACGGGAGGCAGCAGUGGGGAAUAUUGGACAAUGGGCGCAAGCCUGAUCCAGCCAUACCGCGUGGGUGAAGAAGGCCUUCGGGUUGUAAAGCCCUUUUGUUGGGAAAGAAAAGCAGCAGGUUAAUACCCCGCUGUUCUGACGGUACCCAAAGAGUAAGCACCGGCUAACUUCGUG